AAACCAUGGUGGAGACAUUUUAAUAAUAAAUCUUUAAAUCUUUCCCAACAUUCAUAAAAUUCUUCAUUAUCUUUUUGAUAAAAUUUGGAGAUUUCUCUUCUUUAAUUAU